rnacentral:lncRNA from 1 species
AAUAAUUCGUUUACCAUUGUUUUAAGUUGUUGAUACGUGGACACUAAAAUAACAUUAAAUAUGCCAUGAGUUGUUGCACAUUUUGUGGAAACAAAUGAAGUGGAGGUUUUGCCUCAAAAAUGGUUAGUGCAAAGAGGCAAUGCUCUUUACCCUCAUUAUGGCAGAGUAAAAUUGGAGAAAGCCAUAAAAAAAUGAAGUAGAGCCUCAAGAUUGUCGGAAGUCAUAUAAAGUUAACUUGAUGAUUCGUAAGAGUUAUCCAACUUUUUUAAAAGCCAGUUUAAGAUCAAAUAAGGCCUGUGUGACUUCAGAUACUUCGGACUCGGAAUGUGAGUUGCCAAGAAAAAGGCUGAGAAAAACACGAAUUGUAUCAUCAAGCAUCUUAGGAGAAUCGGAAAGUUAGAAUUUCGAGAAAAACCAACUGAGGAAGAUCAAAUAACUGUUGGUCAAAAUGUGCAGUUUGAAUACCCUACUACUUCAUGUAGGACCACAUGUACCAAUUUUCGAAAUGAGACCCUGUCAACACCAACUUCUGGUCACUUUACUCCACUCAAAGGUAGUUCUCUUAUUGGUGACAAACAGACUGAUACUUCCGCACGCCAUAAGAUGUCGGUAGAGGGUGAAAAAUACCAACAUAUAUGGAGUCAUUCGCUAAGCAAGUACUAGGAUACUCAGUGAAGCAUAAGCGCAUACUGGAAGAUCACGGACAAGAUCUACAAUACAUUAAAAGAAAGUUGGAUUAACAUACCGAAAUGUUGGGCAGGCAUAACUGGGUUUUGGCAAGUGCAUUGUUAGAAAAUGCAGAAUUAAAGAAGGCAGUUGUACCAAAUAUAAUUUUCAGAUUGUUCAAAUGAGUAGAGUGGGAGGGAGAAAUUAUAAAAAGACGGUAAGGAGGAUUUGCUAGAAAAUUAUGGACGAUGCAUGAUACAUGCUAGGCGUCAGCAUGGUGAGUCAUAAAGGCAAGAAGUCAUUCAUGUCCUCAAUAUUGUUUAGCC